CCUACGGGAGGCAGCAGUGGGGGAUAUUGCACAAUGGGGGGAACCCUGAUGCAGCGACGCCGCGUGGGUGAAGAAGCGCCUCGGCGCGUAAAGCCCUGUCAGCAGGGAAGAAAAUGACGGUACCUGAAGAAGAAGCCCCGGCUAACUACGUGCCAGCAGCCGCGGUAAUACGUAGGGGGCAAGCGUUAUCCGGAUUUACUGGGUGUAAAGGGGGCGCAGACGGCGGUGCAAGCCAGGAGUGAAAGCCUGGGGCCCAACCCCGGGACUGCUCUUGGAACUGCGUGGCUGGAGUGCAGGAGGGGCAGGCGGAAUUCGUGGUGUAGCGGUGAAAUGCGUAGAUAUCAGGAGGAACACCGGUGGCGAAGGCGGCCUGCUGGACUGCAACUGACGUUGAGGCCCGAAAGCGUGGGGAGCAAACAGGAUUAGAUACCCCUGUAGUC
rnacentral:rRNA from 1 species